rnacentral:lncRNA from 1 species
AUGGGUUUCACGAUUUUAUCCUUUAAAAAGUACCUCACGUAGAAAAAUUUUUUUUUCUUAUAAACACGAGUCUCCUUUGACUCACAAUCGAUGUGGAACUAUUGAUAUCCUCCACAUUAUUAGAACCAUAAAACUCCCCAUUCAAGGCAGACUCCGAUGUGUACAGACUCCUUGAUGUGAAACUAUUGAUAUCCUCCAUAUUAUUAGAGCCAUAAAACUCUCCAGUCAAGGCGGACUCCGAUAUGUAUGGUCCAAGGAGUCCCAUAGUCAGUCGAGACGGACCUCAGCAUCAGAGAAUCCAGUAGACCUCGACCCCUACCUGGUACGUUAUUAUUGCGAACAAG